rnacentral:misc_RNA from 1 species
UCCGGUUUGUCACCGGCAGUCUCAUUAAAGUGCCCACCAUUACAUGCUGGCAAUUAAUGACAAGGGUUGCGCUCGUUGCGGGACUUAACCCAACAUCUCACGACACGAGCUGACGACAGCCAUGCAGCACCUGUGUAUACGUUCUCUUGCGAGCACUUUCUCAUCUCUGAAAAAUUCGUACCAUGUCAAGGGUAGGUAAGGUUUUUCGCGUUGCAUCGAAUUAAUCCACAUCAUCCACCGCUUGUGCGGGUCCCCGUCAAUUCCUUUGAGUUUUAAUCUUGCGACCGUACUCCCCAGGCGGUCAACUUCACGCGUUAGCUGCGUUACCAAGACAAUUAAGUCCCGACAACUAGUUGACAUCGUUUAGGGCGUGGACUAC